UUCGUAGGCGGUGUGGCAAGUCGGGAGUGAAAUCUCUGGGCUCAACCCAGAGACUGCUUCCGAAACUGCUGUGCUUGAGUGUGAGAGAGGCUCGUGGAAUUGCAGGUGUAGCGGUGAAAUGCGUAGAUAUCUGCAGGAACACCCGUGCGAAAGCGGCGAGCUGGAUCACUACUGACGCUGAGGAACGAAAGCUAGGGGAGCAAACAGGAUUAGAUACCCUGGUAGUCCUAGCCCUAAACGAUCAGGACUUGGGGUGCCGCCCGUUCGGGCGUCGUCCCGGAGCUAACGCGUUAAGUCCUGCACCUGGGGAGUACGGUCGCAAGACUGAA
rnacentral:rRNA from 1 species